UAUUUUGUCGGUUGAGAAACGGAGAGCGUGUUCUCCUCUUUCGAGUUAGGUCGACCCCUCUAACUAGGCCGCUGUACAGCUCCACCCGUUCACCGAACGAGGGUCGGGACAACGAGCGCCGGUACGACGAUAUACGCCCCGGCGACCACCAUCAGCCUCUUCUGCGUGGAGUUCGAAUGCGUAUGGGUGGUGGAUCAGGUACGUAUGGUCGUCCGCCGUCUCCUGGAACGAGGUCUGGUACGGUCGGGUGCGGAGGAACAUGACAAGGAGGCACAGGAGCAGCCGCUGGAACAGGCGGACCGCGCUGAACUUGUCAAACAGUUUAAAGCAUGUCGGCCAUCUUAUUAUGCAGGCCGGUCUAGGUCAAU
rnacentral:rRNA from 1 species